UGAGGCCAAGAUUUGAAAACAGGUCCCCCUGACUCCCAGCAUGAGGCUCUAUCCACAGAGCCAUCUAGCUCUCUUUUAAACAUCCAGAAUAAAAGGACAUUUUCCUAUAAAAUAAUAAAAGGAGAUUUAGGGUUAGGAGGAGGGAGUUCCAAGAGUUGCAGGUGCUAAAAGUCAAAGGAUCUAUUAAAAGCUGGUUUCCCCUCAUAUCUACGACUUUAGGGAAAUUUCCUGUCUAUCAUUCCAAAGUUUACAUUCUUUCUAGAACUCUUUCCAUUUCAAUAAUCUCUCAAAAACAAUAAUUUAAAAAGGCCUCCUUCUGCAGUUUAUGUUCUUAUUAGAGGGAUCAUAGGUAUCUCAACAAAAAAGGAGCCAUCCUUUCCUGCUAUAGGGUCAUAAAGCUGUCCCUCAGCAAACUAUCCAAGACUGGGAACAGGUGUGGGAUUACAGAGGGAAAAAGAUUCUUUGGUUUCCUUGAUUAAGAUUUUAAGUCCCUGAAUAACUUUGAAGAGGAUGCUUCAUCCAAUUUCCAUAAAAGAAAGGGGUAUAUCCUUAUUAGAUUGCCAAAAUGCAUUGCCGUCUUUUCUGGGUAAUGCUUGACUCAAGCCAAGUCCCUGGUAGUUUAUUUUAAUAAUGGAAAAAUGCAAAAAUAAAUCAAUCAGCAAUUAACAGAAAGAGAACUGUUUAGCCAUAGUAGAAGAAUACAUAACAAGAAUGACAUUGAAAAUCCCUUGAGUUGAUUCAUCUGAGCAAAGCUUCCUUGCCUGAAUUGCCCAUCAAAAGUUUUCCAUCUGCCAAGCAACAAAGAACACCUGAGGCAAGCUUCUCAUGGUUAUUUUAUACUCAGGCAGCCAGGAAAUAAAAUGAAAAUAUUAAUUCUUUGGUCCUCUGAGCCAACCAAGUCUCUUUAAGGAUAGUUGCAAUACUUCUUAGGAAAAACUAGCCUAACUUCCAUGAAGUCAGAGUUUAAGAUAUUCCUUCUACCACACCAUCCAAUGGGGCUGCUAGAAAGUGGGAAAUUUUGGUUGGUGAGCCUGGAACAAGCAAAUCUCUGGUGUCAAUGUGGGCCUCAGGAUAGGUUGCAUGCAAGUGACCUAUAUAACUCUUAGCUAUUUUGAUUCAGUUAAUACAGACCUACACUGGGUUAUCUCAGCUUCAGAGAGGUGAUUCAUAUUUUUAGUGGCUCUAAGAGAUGAAUGCUGGGAGAUAAGAUGGUAAAGUAAAAUACUACCAGAGCUUGCCAAAACCCUACACACUCACACUCUCACACACACACAUGUGAAUUUUAAAAUCUCCAUCUUGCUUUGUCUAGCACUCAAAAUUGUGCACACCCACAUGACAUGGGCAUGUGCUAGUCAAUGACAAAUCAGAAAUAACUGCCCACCUGGGCUGUCCUAAGCCAAGCUGGAGUCACCAUUGGCACUUGUGAGGCACAGGAAGUGAGGUAGGGAACAGCCUCGGGAAUUCACUCACUUCCUGUGGACAGAGCUAGGUGGCAGUUCGUGCUAGGAGCUUGAGCAGGGAGGAGGCCCACAGACAGCUUUCCUUCAGAUUGGUCACUAUAAAGACCUUCCUUCAGACUUGAUUGGCUUUGGGAAACCAGGGGAAUGAUGGCUACGACUGUUCUCAGUCCGGGCUCCCAGAUACUCGGCUACUGGACCUAAAUGAAACUUUUGCUCCGUGAAUCAGCUCAGGAGUGGUCCUUUGCAGUUCUGGUGCAAGCAGCAGGAAAGGCCACAGAAGCCGGGGUGCUGGGAGACAAAGCCCGUGGGGUAGAUGGAGAAGGUAUCUUGGCUACUUGUAUUUUGUAAAUUGGAGUGGGGGGAAGGUGAUUAUAUGGAACCAGGAGAUGAUUAUCUAUCAAAUCUUGUCUACCAGAUGAGAUAAUGUUUGUGGUGCUUAGUACCAUGCCGGGCACAUUGUAGGAGCUGUUUAAAGGAUUAUUCCCUUCCCUUCCCCUUUGGGCUAAGAACUUGGUGGUAUUCUGCUAUAUAGCAACUGAGUGAAGCUGUACAUUUCAUCUCCUGCUAUUCUCCAGAGACUGAAUGGAUGCAGGGGGAAUAAGCCUCACUGGUAUUAGGGGAUGGUGCAUGUUCAUGUGUUUUUUUCUUGAUAUACCUUUGAAGGAAAUAUUCCUUUGUAAAAGCUAAGCCAAUCAAAUAGAGCUCUGGUUCUGGGAACACCUAAAAUGGGGAGAACACAAUUGGUGGGCGCUUGAGCCAAUGGCAGAGACUAGAGCACCCCAAGCGAGAAGGGUGCUAGAGAACCCUACCGUGAAAUGUAACAUCUCUUAGGGAAAUAGCACAAGCGUUUACUAUUAUCCUGCAAUCACAGCAGCAA